rnacentral:lncRNA from 1 species
UUUUCAAUACUCUAUAUUAAUAUUAUGCAGUAGUUUUACUAUAGUAUAAGUUAUGAUAUGUUUAAAUAUAUGACUUUUUACCUUUUGUUUCAAAUAGUGAUGUCUAAAGACAAUACACCUGACAUUGUCUCCAUGACUUUAGAACUUGGAGCAGCACACUAUAUUGUUAACGCAUUUUGUACUAAAAUAUUUAGAGACAUUUGGAAGUAUGCAUUGGAAGCAAAGAAAAAUAAACUAUUUAUUGAUAGUUUAUCUGCAGCAAUUGAAAAACAAGAGACAUCAACUGAUAUACUACAAACAAAAAAGAAAUGUAGUAAAAAAAAGAGUUGUGAUUAUAGCCAAGAUGAAGGGGAGUUUGAAAUUAGUACGAAAUAUAGUAAAAUUAUCACAACUCCUCUUCAUAACAACUCCAAACUCCCAUUCACCUUGGUGAUUACCAAAACUCUUUCUUUUACUACAUUUCUUUUUUGUUUAUAGUUGAUCAAUUGAUGUUUCUUCUUCUUCACUUGCUGCAAAUAAANNNNNNNNNNNNNNNNNNNNNNNNNNNNNNNNNNNNNNNNNNNNNNNNNNNNNNNNNNNNNNNNNNNNNNNNNNNNNNNNNNNNNNNNNNNNNNNNNNNNUAUACAAUUCGAGCUCGGUACCCCAUGAGAAGUUUUGAGAAAUUUUAAAAAUUUGACAAGAACGUGUAAACUUAACAAAUUACUGAAGCAUCUUUUAUUGUAGAAAUUAACAUUAUCACCUCAUAAUUUUACAAGUCACUUAAAAGGGACACACUCAUGGUAUUUCUCUUAUAAGUUUUGAGUAAUUUCAAAAAUAUGACAGCAACAUGUGAACUAGUCAAAUUGUUGAAGCAUGUAUCCACUUUUUAUCAGAGGAGUACCUACAAAAAAAAAAUAGUGUUGAAAUUAACAUUUGUUACUUUUUAUCAUCUCAUAACAUUAUAUAAACAUAUAAGAGGGAUACAUUCGUGGUAUUUCUAUGAUAAGUUUUUAGAAAUUUCAAAAAUAUGAAAGAAACUCGCGAACUAACCAAAUUGUUGAAGCUUUUAUCCACUUUUUAUCAAAAGAGUAAACCAUUUUUUUUACCAAAUUUCAUUACAUACAAAAAUAAGUUACGAACUUAUAACAAAAUGAUAAUAUCUUCCAAUGGAACUACAACUUAGCAUGUCUUGUUAUAAUUUUACAAUAGAACUAUAACUCAUCAAGUCCUAUCACUAAUUUACAAAUUUCCUGCAGAGGGAUGAACUUUUCCUUGUGAUUGAGUUCACCUCAUCCUGUAUCAUCUAUGAUGGCACGUUAUUAGGUUGACUUGUUGAUAAGUAUCAAUCCUAGAGAAUUCAAUUGAUCUAAGCACUGCAUUCAAUAUCAAAGCUUUCAUUUUCACAACUUUCAUGGAUGUGUUGUUUUUAUCAAAAUCAACUUGCUAAUCAACGGAUCAACCUGAAAAUUCAUCAAUGUUAAUGCUUCUAUAUCAAACUUAAGAAAAUAAUAAUAGAAGGUAACCUAACAUGUUAUUGCAAUUAGCAUAGUCCAUUUUUUUUUUCAUUACUUGUUCAAUGGUUUAAUGAGCAACUAUAUUUGUUCUUGGUCCAACUUUUAAUUAAUCGUAAUCUAACAAGAAUACAUAAUCUAACACAAAGAAACAUCAUUGAUCAAAGGAAGUAACAUACCUUUUUAUUCUGUUUCACGGUUCAUGACUAAAUGAACAUGUUGAAAAGCUUGAAUAAGGAAUGCUAAGUAAAUAAAACUACACCCAAAUAAAUUCAUCAUUUUGUAAACUAACAGCAGGACUUAACAUAUAAAACUAAACAAGAAACAUGCAAAAACACCCCAAUGAUGCUAAAAAGCAAUGACAACAAAUCAAAGAAACCCAAGAUAAGAUAUGUGUAGUCAAAACCAAAUGCCUCUACAACUAAAAGUACAACUUAGUCCAACUAGCCGCACGAUUAAAAGGGUUCCAAUAACCCCAUGAAGCUUAAACAAAGAAGAUACAUGAUCAAAUGAAACAGCAGAGCAAUGAAUCCCAAAAAAUAUGUUAUAUGAAAUAUAUUGCUUGGGACGCCUGACCAAUACAAAACUGAACAUAAGACAUCCCUAUGACCACAAACUCAUUAAUAUAAUCACAAGAUUCAUCAUCAAAAACAUCACAACUCCGCACAACCAUACAAUUCAACCUACAAGCUUAUUCACCAUGAAUCAUUCAUAGGCAUAAUUCUCUUCAAACAUGAAAAUUACAAAUUCUUUAAACUGUACACUAAUCAACUGAACUACUACUACGAGAAAAAUGAAACUACACAUCAAUUCAUAAUAUAAGUCCAACAAAACCCAUUUAAGAUGUUAUGAUGAUUUUAAAUAGAUUCAAUUUAAUCACAAAAUGGAUCACAAACAUUUCCUUCUUCACCUAAUUUAUUCUACUAUUAUGUAUACAAUUUACAGAGAAUACAUUUUAAAGGGAUAUUCUAAUGAAUAACAAUAUUUCACCUUAGAUCUUGCAACUGAUUAUUGAAUUUAAUGUUUCUUUUGCAACAAUAUUCACAACAAUUAUAACAAAUACAAACACAUGUUCUCAACACUAGUUUAAUGCACUUAACCAUAUUAUAACAAAUAAUUAACCACACUUUUUUUUCUUUCCAAAAUUCCCGCAGUUAGCCAUUUUUUAACAUAACUUUGACCACGAAUCACUAAAGACAUACUAAAUAAUUGGAGGAGAACUUGUGAAUUUUGACUGAGAAAAUAACAAUGAGAGGUGAAUGUUAUUCUAUGUAUAACAUGUUUCACACAAACUAACAAAAGAAUGACAUAACUUAACCAACACAAAUUAUCAUCCCAACCCCAUUUGUAGAUCCCAUCAAAUGCAACCAACAACAUAAGAUCUUAAUAGGCAACAACCCAAAAGGAGACAAUAAGACAGUAAUGUAACAGAAGAUUUUAACAAAAUUAUGACCUAAACUUCUAAAUACUAUCAGGCUUCAAUUAACUCAUAAUUCUCACAAAAUCAAUAUCAUAAUAUGAUUAAUUUCUACACCAUGAAAUUCUAAUUCCUUUGAAGUUGGUCACAAAUAAUUUCAAAUCAACACAAAUUACCAUCUCAUUAGGGUUUAACAAAUCAUUUAAAAAAAAAUUCAAUUUUGGAGAAAAACAUUCAAAAUGCAGACAGAUAAACCAUAAACACAAAUCCUAGUCAUAAAAUAAAAUGAAAAUUUGAGAUUAACCUCGCCUAAGAAUAAAGAGAUUGUGGGAAGAAAACAAUUGCUGAUUGUGAACCGACAGUGAUUGUGAGACAACAGUUGUGUAACGAAAACGGGUUGGUUGGAAGAGAUCGCAGAAGAGGACAAGCAGUGGGAGGAGAUCGCGUGUUGGUAGAGAGAGACUUCUCCAGUGAGGAUAGAGAGAAAUGAAAGAUAUGAUGUUUCCUUUUACCUUCUUAUUUUAUGUUUGUUUUAAUUUUAUUUUUAAUGUUUUAUAAGCUGCUUUCCAUGUCACUAGGCCUCUUUUUUUAAUUUUUUUUUGCCAACUCAAGAGUGGUAGGAGGGUGUAUCACCUAAAGGGUGUUCACGUAUCUUUUUCAUAUCAGUUAUAGCAAAACCCACUAAUUAUUGGUGCAAGAAAUAUUAACACACAAAACCUUUAUUUAUAUGACCAAGUAUUUAUAUAUUUCUUUCUAUUCUCUGUUGUGUGACUUUUUUCCAACACUAAUUCAAGGUAAAUUUCAACAAAUAAGAACUUUAAAAUAACAAACAAAAAAUUAACCCACACAUGUUGCAACAAAAAAUAACAAAAAAGUAUAAUUUAGAUAUAUUUCAAGCCUUAACCACCACAAUAUGUAUCGCAACAUUCACGAUGCAAGCAAUCAUGACUGCAACCGCAGCCACAAUUUAUGAACAUAAGGUAUUAUGAUUGAAUGAAUGGUAAAUGAAUGUAGUGGUAGCCGAUAAUAGAUAUGGUGAAAAAUGCACGUUUAGGGGCUAAAAUAAAAGCAUCUCAGUCAAGAAAUGUUGUGAUGUUAGCUAACACCGGCGCAUAAUAACUUACGUUGGGUGCCACCGCGAGUUAACUCACGCUAAAGUUAUUUAGGGAAAAUCGGGGUGGGAAUGAGAAAUACCAUAACGAGAAAAGCAAUUUUUGAAUCAUAAUAACACUAAAAUAUAAGAGUAAUGAUACAUAUACACCAUUUAUUCCCAUACACCCUUGUACACCCCAUGUAUUAGGAAGAGAGAAGAGGAGAGAAAAGAGAAAGUGUGCUUGUGCGGGGUCCACGUGACUACGUGUCAGAAUUUUGUGUGGGUGUCAAAGGGUGUAUUGCCACCUAAGGGUGUCUAUGUAUCAUUAUGGGUUUUUCUAACCUAUGCAACAUUGCAUAGAAUAAGGUGUAAUAAAUGUACCUCUUUUUUUCAAAAAAAAAAAAACUAUCAUAUUAAUUUCCCUCCAUCUCUCUCCUCUACCACUCUAUUUAUUGUAUUUUUUGAAAAACUAAAUAUUCAUCUUCCAAAUACUACCUCCGGUCCUAUUUACAAGAGACAAUUUACUUUUUAGAUACAUUGAAUAAUUUAUAUAUUUAGUUUAGGUUCUUGACUAUAUACAUACAUGGAAUAAUUUACUUUUUACAACUCAAUAUUUAGUUCAGCUUGGUUCAUUCACAAUAUUUUUUCCUUGUGCGUUAUAUAUUUUUCUCAGGUGACAAGUGCUCAAAACUCACUCAUUUGUUCUCAUAUGACAGCUAUACCACAAUAAGUUAUAUAAUUACCCUCUUUCAAUUUUUUCACGUUUUUCUCAUAUGUUCUCAACUAAUUCCUUAUGUAACGUAGCUAUGACUAUGUUACACUACUUAAAUUGCAAUUGUACAUCCGAAUGACUAUUUUUUAUAUUUUACGGAAUGAGAUUAGUCUUUGAAUUUGUUGCUACUAUCUAAAUUUUUGGAGUUAAAUUUGUUCUUGUUAUCUAAAUCCUUCCAUAUAGUUAUUUUUGGAGUAUAUAAAUGUUCUGCUUUCAUAAUUGAGUUAAAUUUUUUCUGGCUUCUAUAUUUAAAUAAAUUUUCUUCGCACUUAGCGUUCCAUUUAAUUCAUCAAUACUUUUCCAUGCACUUAAAAAAAUGGUUAUAAAAAUAAAAAAAAAAGUGAAUGGUUAAUAGGAUAGUCUUUGUUGAAAAAAGAGGUACAUUUAUUGCACCUUAUCCUAUGCAAUGUUGCAUAGGUUAGAAAAACCCUAUAACAAGAUGGAAUAAGCCAAUGAAACAUUGGCAUAUAUAUUUGUGGGUUAUACCAUGGAUAUUCAAAAACAGUUGUUUUCUUUGGCACAUUAAUUGGUUUAUUCAUGAUAGCGAAUGGUCAAAACUCAGUAGCGUUUUUGGUCCAUCCUCCCAAUUCUUGCACUUUAAAGAAGUAGAAAACAGAAGCUGUGAAUAUAUAAAAUCAGAGUAUUUUUUAAUCAUAUCUAAAGAGAGAAUCUAUAUUGCUUUGAAAGAAUGACUUCAUUAUUCUAAUACAGUUGAAACAUAGCACACUAAAUGAGGCAAAUAGUGAGGUGGAAAUUCGAUCCUUCUAAUUUCAAACAAAGACACAAAAGAGAAGAAAACAUAUCAGUAUAAAAUUUUAAUUCCUUUUGUGCAAUCUCAUUCAUAUAUUAUGAAGUGGUGAUAACUUUUACCUUAUGACAUUGGAUGUGUUCUCUCAACCACUGCAUAAAAUGGAGCAUAUUAUGAUUCUAUUUCUAAAAGCUGAACAUGAAAAAUAAUAAAGAAAGAAUCUUAAUGGAAAAACUUAUUUCAAGACUAUAUAUGAUACUAGCUCCUUCAAGCAUAUGCCAUUGUUCUUAAAAAAGGAGAAUUAGUAGCAUUCAAGAGAAGUAUAUCCAAAGCAUAAAACCCUUGAGAAUUAGCCUAUAUAACUUGUUGGGAGUGUCAUUUGAUACUUAGCAAACUAGACACAUUAAAGUAAGCAAAUCAGUCAUAGGGCAUGUCUCUAUUGGCAGGUGAUAUGGUGAUAUUUCAUUUGACUUUAAGGCUCUAAAAAUUCACUUGCCAAAGGAGAGCUGCCCUACGAGUGUUUAGCUUAAACAUUUUUUACAUUUCUCCUUGUUAUUCAUUGCAAGGAGCUUCUCAGCUUUAAAUAAAGGCAUGAUUUUGUUAGGGAUGUCUUUUUUGAUAUAUUUAGGUGGGCGGUCGUAACUUUGAAGAAGGAGACGCUCGUUAACUUCUUGGUCGACUCAAAAAAAAGAAAAUUGACACUUAGGCCAACAUAUGUUCUUGUGUAUGUGUGGGUAGGAGGGUAACAUGCAUGUUUGAACUUGACUGAGGUCUCCCCGAGUGACUGUAUCCUCUUCAAGGUUGCCACACUCGACGAAGUUUGGCAAUUCAUAAAGUGUCUCUUUUUUUUUUUUCUUCUUUUUCUGAAUGGACAAUAUUAGUACGGUAAUUGUUAUGCUAAUUUUUUCUCCUUUCUAGGACUUGAACCCUAAACCUCUAACUCCUUAUAACCUUUUUCUCAAACCAGUUGAGCUACCCUAUCUUGAAGGGAUAUACAUUUCAACACCACCUCUAUUGUAGACAUUAAAACUCACACGCUAUAAUUCAUAAAAUUGAUUAGUUCAUUUUUUAAACUCAUCAUCAUGCCAUCUUCAAUCAGUAUCAAAGUACCUUAGCAGUCUCAUCAUCUUAUAGGUAGGAACUAUAUAUAACAAAAAGUACGAGUGUUAAUUGUGACAAUAAGCGAUUUUUGGAUAGUUUCUUGAACUACAAGCUAUUGUUAGAAAGUACAGAUGAUUAACUACUUGUUAGUUAGUUAGUUAUGUUGUUAAUUAGUUAGAUAAGCUUGUAUGUAAAUAACUUACUCUAAAUACACUUGUAGAGUCUGCAACAUAUUUUGUCAACAACUUCUAUUGGUGAUGAACCCAAAAUUAAACAUUGAGCAGUAAAAGGAGGAUCUUGCCAUUCAACUAAAGGAAGGAAGUUGAACCAAAGGGAAGGUUGGUGGUGAACAAAUUCUAGGUAUUGCACUAAAGAAAGAUUCAAGACUUCAUUUUGUCCAUCCAUUUUAGGAUGGUAGAAAGUACUCAUUCUCAACUUGAACAGUUUGCGCCAAAUAUUAUUGAUGAAAGCAUGAUCCAUGUCAGAGACUAGUCUUCUAGGUAACAUUACCAUGAGGAAGGAAUAAAGGUGAAGUCAAUAGAAAGAUCUUCCCAUAUGGAAUAAUUAACUAGCAAAGUGAUUGAUAUUUGGCAAGUCUAUCAGAACUCAUCAAGUAAUAAAAGAGUUUGUAUCCACAGGUAUUAUACGAUUAGUUAGAAAACUUACCAAUUAUAUGUUAGUUAUAAGUGAUCAAUUUAGAGGGUUUGCAUAAACUUUGGUUUUAAAGAAUGAAAAUAAAUUGAAUAAAACAAGGAUGGAAAAAGCGAUUAGAACUUUUGAAUUUCUUACGUGAAUUAAUGUUAUUUAAAGUUUGAAAGAACGCUAAUUAUCACAUUAAGAUGAUGCAAUAUGUCUAAAGCGUUUAUCUAAUGAACAUUUAUCCAAGAUCCAGUUACAAUAACCAAGACUAACAGACAAUUGUUUCCUAGUUCAUUUCAUAAGGAUACUUGAAUAAUUAUAAAUUUUAACUGCAUAAAUAGGUACUCAAUAUGGUUAAAGUAGAUCUUAACGAGCAUAAUGAAGCUGCCUCUGGUAAUGGAGUUGUUUUGAUGAUGAUUGAUUAAAACUAGGUAUUAAGUGUGUUUGAUGAUGUUUAUUGUUUACAUGUUCAUAGUAAUUACUAACGAUGUUUACAUGUGCAUAGUAAUUAGUAUAUAUUAAAGCACCUAGCCAUCCAUGAUCUUAAGUUUCUUCAAAGUGUCUCGUCUGUCAAGUUUCAUUUUGUGUUUCAUUUUGUGGCAAAACUCAUUUCUUCGUACCUUUGAAUCGUAUCACAAAUUGAUGAUUUGUAUCAUGCUCGAAUCGAAUCACAAUUUGGUUGUUCGUAUCAUUUGAGUUCUCUAAUCUUGUGAUUUGCCUGAACAAAUCGUAUCAAAUAUUCUUUAUUUGUAUCAAUCUUCAUCUGAAAUUUUUUGAAUUGUAUUAAAUAUUAUUUAUUCGUAUCAAUCUUUAUAGCUUCAAAUUUAUCCUUGCCUGAAUGAAUAUUCUAGCAAGAUGUUGGGACAGCUGUCCUAGACAUGUUAGUACAACAACUUAACUUAAGGUGAAGUAUUAUAUUUCGCAAUCUUGAAAGAUUUGGUUUAUGCGUGAGAUCAUUGAAGAUUUGAUAGAAGAGAUGAUUCACGUAGCUUGUGCUCCAAGAAGCGUGUGGUUCUAGAAGCCUCCGUUGUCGUUUUGUCCUUGACCGUGUUUUAGUAUUUAAUGUCCUAAACAUUUUAGGAAACAUUUUAUAUGCUUCUAUAAAAUUGUAGCUGAAGACACUAUUGGAUCAACUGUAUUGUUUAGCCCGACAGAUGAUCAAGCCCAUGCACUCUCUGUCUAUAUAAAGGAAGACUCAAACCUAAAGAAGACUACUGAAGUCGCAAUUGAGAAAAGUGUCAUCUAGAGUUUUAGUUUGUACUUUGUUAUUUGUGAGCCACUCUUGUAUACCCUUGAUGCAUUGAGUUGGACUGAUAGUUGAGUUGUAUUUGUGAACUGCUCUAAAGCUUUUAAGCAAAUAGUGGGUUUUAUUUAUUGGAGUGUGUCUCCUUGAGUGUAAUCAUUGAAAUCACGGGUUGUGUGAUUAAGAGAAAGUGAGAUGGGAUCUCAUAUCUAAGAGAUUCUUAAAUAGAAAUAUCACGGGAAGUGAUUAGGUGAGAAGGCAGUGAACCAACUACUGUUCACAUAGGACUUCAAACUAAUACUAUUAUAGUAGAUUUCCUUCCUGGCUUGGAUGCCCCCAGAUGUAGGUGACGUUGCACCGUACUGGGUUAACAAAUAUCUUGUGUUAUUUCCUUCUUGUACUUUACUUUAAAGUUCUUUAUUGUUUAUUGUGUUAAGUAUUUGUUAUUAAGUGUUAUGAACAUUUCAUUAGACAUUCCUGGUGUUCUGGACAUCUCAUAGAAUAUCUGUCCCGUACGUGCCAGAAUUUAAGUAUCAAUCUUUAUUUAGAAACUUUUGAAUCAUAUCAAAUAUUUUUUAUUCGUAUCAAAUCUUCACAACUUUAGAUUUUUUUUCCUUUUUCAUGUGUCUGAAUCGAAUCAUACUUAACAUGAUUCGAAUCAUGUAGUUGUUUUUGCCACAAAAAUUGCACUUGGCAUUCAUGUAUAUGUAUAGUUAUACUCAUACACCUUCCAACUUAUUUAAUCAAUUGCAAAUAAUAUUCUAGAGUCUCCAAACCUCGCUCUCCACUUGUUCUUGAGAUUAAACACUUUUUCUAAGAUUUUUUUUGUGGAUUUUUAGUCAUAGAUUGCUAGAGUGUUAUAGGAAUUGUACACUAGUUUAUUUUGAAGUAACUUGAUUGAGGAUCAAGGAUCUAAAGGACAAGAGGGAUUUCUUUCCACCUCGAAGGGGAAUUGUGGGGGUCUUUCUAACUUUUCAAGUUUAAGGGGAUCCAAACUUUAAACAUAGAAAAUAAGAAUUUAAGGUGAAGGAAUUCCCAGGAUUUCAUGGGAACUUGAGUUUCGAAAACUUAGAAAAUCUCCAAUUUCAACGGGUACUUGAAGAUCGGUGGUGUUGUGAUUGCUUAGGAUUGAAGAUUAGGGUUAUCGAGGGAAUUAUUUGUAAUCAUAACAAUUUCUAAACAAUUUUCAACAAUAGUAAAAGUUCAUGAUAACGACGUUUUCUAUCAAGAAGAGUAAACAUAUCUCGAAGCGAGGACGAAAGGGGCAACUACUAUAAAUCCCGGUGGUCUCUACUCUAUCAUUUUAUAUUUUUGCCUUACUAUUUGUAUAUGAAUUUUGUGUUCGACACUAUUUGAUUUGAUUGUGAUUAAUUUUUUAACUUAACAUAAUCUCGAUUCAUUGAAUUAAUAUUCUUUUCAAAUUCAAUUUGAUCAUAAUUAAGUUUCGUCUCUAUGUGGUUUAUUGUAAUUAGGUUUGGUUUGAGUAUGUCUAAUUUUGAAAUUUUUAUGCUUGAUUAUUAAUAAUUGAUGAUUUUAAACAUUGUCUUAGACUUGUCAUCAUUGAAAUCUGAUAAGUCAUACGUUUUCAAUUCACGCCUUCGCAAACUCUUUUGAAAAUCAAAAAACCUUUUUAACCCCCCAUGCACCUUCUUGUUCAUCGUAAAGACCAAUAAAUGACAUCAAGAACGUGGUCUGUUCACUAACAGUUAACUACCGAAAGAGUCGAUAUGAUGAACAAAGAGCCUUAGUGGGAGUACAGUAGGGCUCCAAUUUUUUACGGCAAAAAAUGUGAAUAUUGGAAAGAAUGCAUGAACUUCCAUAUUCAAUCAGUCGACAUGGAUGUUGGGAACGCCAUGGUCAACUAGCGGUCCGAACCUCAAGUUGAAGUUAACGGGGUUGCAAAAAUUAAACAUAAGGCCAAUUGGACCGACAGUGAUAAAAAGAAGGUUCAAUAUGAUUUGAAGGCAAGAAACAUUCUUAUUUCCACCAUUAGCGUGAAUGAGUAUCAAUCGGUUUCACAUUGUAAGGCCACUAAGGCAAUAUUGGAUGCUUUGGAAACCCUCCUUGAGGGUACCGAAGACGUGAAGCGAUCAAAAUCAAUAUUCUCAUCUAGCGAUAUGAACUAUUCACAUGGAGGAUGGUGAAACGGUGUCGCUCGUGCAAAUGAGCUUCAGUCAUAUGGUUAACGAACCGCAAUACUUAAGGAAAAGACGUCUCGAACGAAGAUUGUACUAACAAGGGACUGAAAUGCGGGACCAAAAAAUGGGCAGUCCUAGGUCCCCCCAAUAAAGGAAUCUCAACCUUUAACCCCUUUGGAAUCCCCUGUCUUUUUGGAAAGCUUGACCGACUUUGACCCCGAGAUCCUAAGGGGGGACACAACUCGGGGGAAAAGUCCUGAACAAGGGGAGUGUGAGCCCACUGUGUUCAAACGCCCCGUGGNNNNNNNNNNNNNNNNNNNNNNNNNNNNNNNNNNNNNNNNNNNNNNNNNNNNNNNNNNNNNNNNNNNNNNNNNNNNNNNNNNNNNNNNNNNNNNNNNNNNCUCCUUUUUCUCCCAAAGUUGAUUUUCACGUAAAAACGUUUUUCUGACUUUUCUCUUUUCUUAACUCCCAAAAAGUAACUUCCCUUUCUUUUCAUUAAACUCCCCUUAAUUCUAUUAAAUAUUAAUUAACUCCCCACACUCCAAAAUAAUACUAAUUCUCACUUAUUCUAAUUAUUAUUAAAAUAAACUAUAUAAUAAAAUCUAACACACCAUAAAAUCCACAAAUAUUAUUUUAAAAUCAUAAAAAGACUCCACAUAAAUCCAAAAUAAUUAAAUUAACGACUAGGGCGUUACAACUCCAAAUCCAAAUAUAAUCCUUCCUAUGAGAAAUUACAAGAAGCUCUAGUAGACAUGCAUGAUGAUGCUUUGAAAGCUUUUGAGAAAUUAAUUGUUUAAAAGAAAAUUAAUCUAAAACUGGAAGCCGAGCUUUCACCACGUAAAAAUAAUUUAAAAUGUUGAAAAGACGAGUAUGCAUCUCUAGUAAAUGAGAAAAUUGUAAUUCCUCACAUUGAGCCACCUAAAGCUAAUUCAUCCAAGUAUGAUUCAAAUUGGAUGGAUUUUUCAAGUUGUGAAACUUGUCCUAGUUUACACGAACAGAUUAAAUCUCUAACAUGUACACAAGAACAAGCCUCCAAAUCCCCAUAGUUUUGCGUGAAUAAGAAAUCCAAUGCGGGGGCUGGUAAAGAGAACUUCUCCUUGUCUCCCACUACUCAGAUCUAAACUUAUCCCUUACGAAUCAAAGAGAAAUUGAACCAACAAUAUUUACUAGUGAUUAGGUUAUGGUUUUCAUUUUUCAAGAGUCAAGACAUUUGAUUGUUGAAUUUGAUUAUGAUGGAUAAAAGGAUUUUAAUGAUGAACUAUUUUUUUUUAGUCAAUCUUAGUUGAAAGGAUAAGAGUCAUCUUAGUUGAAAAUAUGGUGUCAAUCUUAGUUGUGGGUUUCUCUUAGUCAAUUACGAUAAUCCAACUCAUUGUACGCUCUAUAACGCACUAGUCGUUAUUUUAAUUAUUUCUGAUUUAUUUAGAGUUUUUUAUAUGAUUUUAAAUAAUUAUUGUUGAUUAUGUGGUGUGUUGUAUUUUAUGAAAUGAUUUAUUUUUAGUAUUUAUUAGAAUAAUAUGAGAAAUAUAAUUAUUUGGAAUUCUAGGGGUUAUAUUUUAAUUAAGGGAAUUAAGUGGAAGUUAAUUAGAAUUAAGAGGGAGUUAAGUAAGGAGUUGGAGAAGUCAGAAAAACAGUUUUACGUACAAGCAGUUUUUGGGAGAAAAGGCUAGGAGAAGAGAAACCAAGAGGAGAGAACAAGAAUUCUGUAGAGCUUUGUUCUUCAACUAAGGUAAGGGUGAGGUUUACUCUCAAUAGCAUAGAUUAAAGUUCUGAUUUUGAUUUUAACAUGAGGGUUUUGGUUAAUUUGGGAAUUGGGUUUAGAUUUUGAUUCUUUGAUUUUUGGAUGGAAUGAGUGUAGAAACCACUGUAUUAGUGUUAGAAUGCAUUCAGGAGGGUUGUCUCUUGUUCAUUGGAGGAGUCAAUAUGCAUGGGAAGCUCUUUAUCAUAAUGAGAACUUGGGGUCUAUUUCCUUAGAGGUGGAUGAGACUGAUGUAGGAGGGUUUUCUUAGUAAUUUAUUAGUAUUUUAUUAAUUCAGCCUAAUUUUAUUAUUUGUUUGUUUUAUUUUAUGUUUGUUAUUUUUGGCCCUUUAAGGUUUGUUAUUUCCCUAUUUAAGCUUUACAGAUGUAGCCUAAGAGGCAACUUUUUUUACAAUAUUAUUUCAGAGAGCUUUUCUCAAUUUUUUGUGGUUUCCAGAACCUUUAUUUCAUAAGUUUGUCGAAUGCAAACUUGUCUUUUUUCAAUCUAGGUUUAAAGCUUGCUAGCCUACGCUUCUGUACUGCAUCACAUCCACAUUGGUUUAGAUCCAAGAGAGGGAGAAGGUGGAGUUUGUAAAACCUCUAAGAGGGUAUGACUCAUAGCACUCUUGGCUGUAGUCUAGAAAAUUGAGUUACUUUGAAAUCGUGCAUGGAGUCAUUGCCAUGACCUUUAAUUAGCUUGUAGUUGAAGUUAUUUUCUGAUAUUAUCCUAUCUAUCCGACUUUUCAUGUGAUCUUUGAAGCACCUCUUGUUUCUUUCAUAUGUACAAAACUGGUUUGAAAGGUGAGAUGUGCUUCCUCUUAAUAAACACUUCUCAACAGUCCUAUCUAUCCAAUGUGGGACAAAAUCCAGCCCCUCAAAGCCAACACAAUGAAGGUGUUAGAGGCUGUAAUGAAGGCAAACCAAAGGUCGCAAUUUAGGCGACUAGGGGCGAACCGUAAUAAAGGUGGAAUUUCCAAGACACCCCAUCACGCUUCAGCCUAGCCCAAUGGGCCUAAAGCAUGGAUGAUAUGGGAUACCCAACAAAAGAUCUAGGAUAGGCUCUGAUACUAUGUCGAAAUUUAGGGUCUAGCUCAUUCUUACAAAACCGACUUGUAAGGUGAGGAGUGUCUCGUAUGGUUAUUUUGCAUAUUAUUGAGAAAAUGUAUUUGAUUCGAUGUUGGAAAAAUAAACGUCCAAGUUUUAACUUCAUAUCCACAUGAAAAAACUACAAUAUUAUUUAUCGUACGUAUGAUACAGUCCUAUCAAAUUGGAAUGUAAGCACGGACCGGUGAAUACAAGGGUAUUAUUUUAUUUUAUUUUGGGGGGGCGGGGGGAGGGGGGUGGGACCAAUAAGAGGGGCCGAUAGAACUAGUUUGUUGUUGUGGUAUAUAACUUACAUUGGCCCAAGUCCAUUAACCUAAACCUAAUUUCAUCUUCUCUCUCGAUGGAAAUUGCAUAUAAAAGUGGCCGCAUCCACAAUAUAUUUCUCCCCAAUUUCUUCUUCUUCCUUAUUUUUCCUUUAUUUUAUGUUUACCAGUUUUUUCGCGAUUCUUCAUACUGUUUGUUGUUCUGUUCACGUGUUCUCAUAUAUACUUUAUUUAUUAAAUCAAAUUUUCAAUAUCUCAGUGCCUCUUAAAUUCCAUUAGAGAUUGAUCCUUGAUUCAUCUGAAAAGUUCAGAAAUUAAUCUAGUUGUCAAACUGUGUGCUUUAAAUUUGAUUUACAACUAAUUUGUAACGACAAUACCCAUCAAGAGAAUUAUCAAUCUAAUAGUUUGACCAUUUCUUCUACAUGUUUUGUUUUUUCUCAAAAUUGUUCAGAUUUACAGAUCCAGUUUGAUCAUUGCAAUAAUGGAUGAAGGUCAAUCUGCAGAUGGGAAUGAAGAUAUUCAUCAAAUAAAAUUGUCAAAAACCUCCAAAUCAAAUCGACGAAAUACCAAAGGUAUCCAAAAAUAAUAUGUAUUUUUUUUUGAAAGGAUCCAUAAAUAUUAAAUUGUUAUCCAUUUAAUUGUUAUAUAUUCAAUAUUUAAAUGGUGGCUAACAUUCAUUUGUACAUUACAAAAUUUGAAUGAGCUAUUUUUUUUUUUUUUUUUAAUUUUCAAUUCAAACUGCCAAAGAUGAUAACCAUGCUUUGGUCACUAUUCAAGACUCUAAAGGCUUGUUUGAUCUCGUAAUCAGUAAGUUUCAUAUAUUUGAAAUGAAAGUAUUUGAAUUCCAAAAGAAAAUUCAAGAUGAAUUUCAACUUCCUGAUAUAGGUUAGUAUCAUUUUUCCCUUCCAACUAAAAAUUAAGUCUAAUUUUUAGUCAUUAAAUAUACCUUGCAAUUUUUUAUUUUUUAUGUUUUCAAUCCUCUAUAUUAAUAUUAUGCAGUAGUUUCACUAUAGUAUAAGUUAUGAUAUAUUUAAAUAUAUGAUGACAUUUUACCUUUUGUUUUAAAUAGUGAUGUCUAAAGACAAUACACCAGACAUUAUCUCCAUGACUUUAGAACUUGGAGCAGCACGCUAUAUUGUUAACGCAUUUUGUAAUGAAAACUUUAGAGACAUUUGGAAGUAUGCAUUGGAAGCAAAGAAAAAUAAACUAUUUAUUGAUAGUUUAUCUGCAGCAGGUGAAGAACAAGAGACAUCAACUGAUCUACUACAAACAAAAAAGAAAUGUAGUAAAAGAAAGAGUUGUGAUUAUAGCCAAGAUGAAGGGGAGUUUGAAAUUAAUAAGAAAUUUAGUAAAAUCAUCACAACUCCCCUUCAUCUUAACAACUCCAAACUCCCAUUCACCUUGGUGAUUACCAAAACUCUUUCUUUUACUACAUUUCUUUUUUGUUUGUAGUUGAUCAAUUGAUGUUUCUUCUUCUUCACUUGCUGCAAAUAAACUAUCAAUAAAUAGUUUAUUUUUCUUUGCUUCCAUAGCAUAUUUCCAAAUAUCUCUAAGGUCUUUAGGACAAAAUGGUUUAACAAUGUAGGGUGCUGCUCCCUGUUCUAAAGUCAUGAGAUUAUGUUUGGUGUAUUGUCUUUCGACAUCACUAUUUGAAACAAAAGGUAAAAGUCAUAUAUUUAAACAUAUCAUAACGUAUACGAUAGUGAAAGAACCGCAUAAUAUUAAUACAGAGUAUUUAAAACAUAAAAAGUUAAAAAGGACAAAAUUGCAAGGUAGAUUUAAUAGUUGGGAGGGAAAAAUGAUACUUACCUAUAAUAGGAAGUUGAAAUUCAUCUUGAAUUUGCUUUUGGAAUUCAAAUCCAUUCAUUCCAAAUAUAUGAAACUCCCCGAUUAUGAGAUGAAACAAGUCUUUAGAGUUUCGAAGAGUGACCAAAGCAUGAUGAGCAUAUAUGGCAGUUUGAACUGAAAAUUAAAACAAAAUAAAUAAAAUAAGCUCAUUGAAAUUUAUUUUUCUUUGCUUUUGUUCUAAAGCUGAAAAUUGUUUUAAAGACACAAGCAUUUGUUGUUGUACAUUUAAUAUUUCUUCGGAACAUCAUAAAUGAUUUGAUUUACUUUUUCCCACUCCUAGAUAACAUUAAGAAAGACAAUGAGGUUGAAAUUUAACAAUUUUGAUUUGAAUUCUUCUUAAUAGACUUUUAUGGUCAAUACAAAGGUUUAUGUAUAUCUAGACAUGUGGAACUCAAUGAUUUGGUAUAAGAAAAAGUUAAAAAGAGCAAAGAAAUUGUUUCUAAUGAUAAUAAAAAAGAAGCUGAAAUGAUGAAAAAUUCUAAGAGUCACGAUAAAGAAUUUUCUAGUUCCUCUGGCAAGGACUGGGAAAGAAAUGAUGAAAUGAUUCAAGGAGCACUGAUAGAUGGACCACCUUAGGUGGUUCUACCACUCAUACCACCCUUGUGUGGCACAUUUAAUUAUUAAAAGAAAUAGCUUAAUAAUCCAUGUCAUACCAGAAGAUAAAAAGAAAAAGAAAGUUGUACAUUCUCUCUCUCUCUCUCUCUCUCUCUCUCUCUCAUCUCAUUCACUCGGUCCUCUCUCUCUCCCACUCUUGUUCCAUUUUCUCUAGGGAAGAUGAUUUCCACAACCAUUCUCGUUGAUGCCGUCGCCGUUACAUCUUGAUAGAUUUUUCGGAAGGUUGAUCUCCAACCACAUCCUUGUUGUCACUGUCGAUUUUUCUGUGCUCAGGAAUCCCUAUUUUGUUCCUCCUGUUUUCUUCCUCUUCCAUCUUCAACUCAGGUAUAUUCAUCUCUGGUCUUUUUGUUCGAUUCACUAGUUCCGACUUGCGAUUUUUGUUUGUUCCUUUCUUUUUGUGUGUGUGAUUCAAUUCUCUUGUUCCUCAUAUCAGUUUAAUUUGAAUUAAAUUUAAACAUUUUUUAUGAAAAAUGUAAAUCUCAAUUCGGUUCAUUUAUCAGUUUAAUUUGAAUUAAAUUUAAACAUUUUUGUGAAAAUUGUAAUCUCAAUUUGGUUAAUCCAGAGUACUAAGAUGGGAUAUAAAGUGAUUUUUUUGAACCAUAUAUGCACUUUAGCUAAGAUAUUGAAGAUGUGUAGUUAAUCAUGGGUGGAAUUUGAUGUUAUUAGUAUUUGAUUGAGUUUGAUCGAUUAAGUCUUUAGAGACUGGGUUAGUCUCUUAAUAAAUCCUUACUUUUUUUUUUAUGGAAAUUGAGUCAGUUUAUUAGUUAACAAUGGAGGUGUAAUGCUGAUUAGAUUUCAUAAUAAGAUAAUUUAAUCAAAUGUUUAUUGGUAUCUUAAUUGCAUUAGAUUUAUGUUGUGAUAUUGAUAAACUUAUAGGUGACCAAUUUUGAAUGCAGAACAACAAUUUGGUCACGCCUUUGAAAAUUUGUGGUUAUAUGCUUCAAUUAUUUGGUUAUAUGUAUUUUUCCUGUGAAAACAAUAUCAAUUUUUCAAUUUAUCAACAAAAUAUCAAAAGUUACCACCUUCUAUGUUUCUUGGUCUCUUAAUCACGCUAAUAAAUGACAAAUUUUGAACGCAGGAAAAAAACUAUGGUCGUGCCUUUGAAAAAUCGUUGCUAUAUGGUUUUGUUAUUUGGUUUUGUGUAUUUUUUCUUCGAGAAAAAUAUCAGUUUUGCAAAUUUAUCAGCUAAAUAUCAAAAGUGACCACCUUCUAGGUUUCUUGGUCUCUAAAUUACAUUUGAUUUAUGUUGUGAGUUCACUUCAAAGCUCAAUUGUACAACCAUUUCUGUUGUGAUGAAUCUGAAUCUUAACGUGGAUGCAAGAUGCUUCAAGGAUGAUACAAUGAGAUAGUAGUCUAGAUACUGUAUAAGAUUUAUAGAAUUUGUUGCAACAAAACUAGAAUGAAGGCCACUAUCCUCUGCUUUGGCCGAAGUAUUAGCUCUACAGCGGUGUCUCCAAUGGAUCCUCACAACAAAUCAAAAUGGACACGUCCUCGUAGAAACUGAUUCUAAAGUCACAAUGAAAUGUAUCCAAGGUCUGAUUUGGAUGAUUGAGAUAUAAAAUAUUAUUCCAGACUGCGUAGACAUUUCAUCCACUAUGUCCAAUUGUGUUGUUCCUUUUAUUAAAAGAACUAAGAUUAUUCUUGUCCAUAGCCUAGUGGUAGUAGAAAAAAGUUUGGUUUUAACUCAUGGUUGGGAUAUGUCCCUAAAACCGCAGCCUCUGCUACUUAUACUAAUAGGCAUAACCAUCUUUAAUCGAAUACUUGUUUGAUUGUAAAAAUAAUUAUUCAUGUAUCAAUGUUGCACUAUGAACACAGAUAAUUGCAUCUAGUCACUUAACUUUCUAUCUUGAUUAUCAUGUAACUUAUAGAUGAGUAAUUUUGGAUGCUUGAAAAAAAG